rfam:Schistosoma rodhaini strain Burundi genome assembly, scaffold: SROB_scaffold0002895
AUCCAGCUGACGAGUUCCAAAUAGGACGAAACGCGCUUCAGACUGGAU